GUACACGCUGUGACUAGCAUAUCAAUAAGCGGAGGAAAAGAAACUAACAAGGAUUCCCCUAGUAACGGCGAGUGAAGCGGGAAGAGCUCAAAUUUGAAAUCUUAAAGGGUUUCCCUUUACGAAUUGUAGUUUAAAGAAGUGUUUUCUGUUGAGGUUUUGGUAAAAGUUCUUUGGAAUAGGACAUCAUAGAGGGUGAGAAUCCCGUAUUUGACCUUUACUUUCAACUUUGUGAUACACUUUCAAAGAGUCGGAUUGUUUGGGAAUGCAGUCCAAAAUGGGUGGUAAAUUUCAUCUAAAGCUAAAUAUUGGCGAGAGACGGAUAGCGAACAAGUACCGUGAGGGAAAGAUGAAAAGAACUUUGAAAAGAGAGUUAAACAGUACGUGAAAUUGUCAAAAGGGAAGCGUUUGACACCAGUGUUGUUUUUCUGAAAAUCAAUUAAAGAACUGUUUAUGCUAAGCUGUUUAGACUUUAUCAGCUAUCUGUUUAGUUUUAGGCUUUUCUUUAAUGCACUUUUCAGUUAACAAGUCAACAUCAAUUUCUUUUGCUGUAAAAAAGCUUGAGGAAGGUGGCUUGAGAUUCGUCUUAAGUGUUUAUAGCCUCUUGCCUAUGCAGUCGGAGAGAUUGAGGUCUGCAGCGUAGAUCCUUCGGGGCUAAACGCAUUUGUGCUAAGUUAUAGCAUUUUAUAGACAACUUGUUGACUAUGAUUUGUCUUGUAGCUUACUCGCUUAUGUCAUUUUACCUACGCUUAGGAUGUUGAGUCGUAGAACACGCAG
rnacentral:rRNA from 1 species